CAGAGAAAUGAAGUAACUUUCCCAAGGUCACACAACUAGGAAAUUGCCAAUCCAGAAUUUGAAUCCAGGUCUCUCUAAGGAUCAGUUCAGAGAUGGAUAUUUGGGCUAUUUCCAGUUUUUAACUAUUAUGAACAAAGCUGCAAUUCACAUUCUUGUCAUGCCAUUCCAGUAGUCAUGCAUGGAUGUGAGAGUUGGACCAUAAAGAAAGCUGAGCACCGAAGAACUGGUUCUUUUGAACUGUGGUGUUGGAGAGGACUCUUGAGUGUGCCUUGGACUGCAAGGAGAUCCAACCAGUCAAUCCUAAAGGAAAUCAGUCCUGAAUACUCAUUGAAAGGACUGAUGCUGAAGUUGAAACUCCAAUACUUUGGCCACCUGAUGUGAAGAACUGACUUAUUGGAAAAGACCCUGAUGCUGGGAAAGAUUGAAGGGAGGAGGAGAAGGGUACAGAGGAUGAGAUGAUUGGAUGGCUUCACCCUACUCGAUGGACAUGAGUUUGAACAAGUUCUGGGUGUUGGUGAUGAACAGAGAAGCCUGGCGUGCUGCAGUCCAUGGGGUCACAAAGAGUCAGACAUGACUUAGUGACUGAACUGAACUGAACUGUCAGCUUAGAUCUUAGAUAGGGCUGUUAUUAGGAAUAAAUACUAUGACCUCUCCAUGCGGCUGGGUCCUAAGGAUGGCAGCAUCCCCAGAAAGAGAGAGAAUUAGACAGCAGCUGUUUUCCUUUUCUGACCUAGUUUCGGAAGUCAUGUGGCAUCACUUCUACUUUACUCUGGGCUACCCAGGUGGCUCAGUGGUAAAGAAUCUGCCUGCCUAUGCAGAAGACAGGUGCU